rnacentral:miRNA from 1 species
GUAGGAACUUCAUACCAUGCU